GUAUGUAAACGGCCAUGCAAAAAAGCAUUUCGAGGAGAUUCAGGCACCAGGAGGCGGUCAAAGGAAGCCAGAGCGAGAAAAGUCCAGUGAGAAGAGUCAGCAGCACUCUGUGUGUAUGGACUGUAACAGUUAUAGCACAUUCUGUUACAGAUGUGAUGAAUUUGUGGUGAACGACACAAAACUAGGGCAUGUGCAGAGGGUCAGAGAACAUCUGCAGAGUUUGGAAAACUCUGUGUCUAAUACUGACAGACAGAGGAAGAGAAAACUGUCAGACAGUUCCUCUCCUGACAGCAAGCUGAAGAAAG